ACGACGCGUGUACAGUUUGAUGGUCGCAUGAUGAGGUCUGACUGUUAACGCAAGGAGCUAAGUCAGCGCGGCGGAGCCCAGCUCAGGGCGCUGCUCGCGCUACCGUAAGUCUCCACGGGAGGGCGCCCUCCGCCACGUCACCAGGCCCCUCGGGCACGGAGACCGAGCCUGGUUCAUCCUUUCCUGUGUCUGGUGUGUAAACGGUGACCGAACUGGACUGCGUCACAGAAAGCUACUCUUCUUGAACGGAUUUCAAAGGCUACGUCUUGGUCUUACAAAUAAACAUUCUCAUGAUGCACACAGAAGAAGAGUCUGGAGACGGAGGAAUGUUAGUGGAGGCGGGAGGAGAUUCUCAGUGUAAAAACCCUGGAAGAGCACUCACAGGGCGGCGUGCCUGCGACGUCAUCACCGAGUAUAUUAACACAUAUAUAUGGAAUUUACGACGACGGUAACAAUGAUUCUAUAUGCAAAGCAGUGAAAGAAACACAGAUAUCAAGAACAGACCAUUGGACUACGUGGGAGAAGGCGAGGGUGGGAUGAUAUGAGAGAACAGCCCUGAAACGUGCACACCACCGUAUAUAAAAAAAAAAAUCGUACUGAGGUGCAGUAAAAUUUGUCGACAAUAAACUUUCACAUACAUACGUCUCAGCGUUUGUCAUGUGAACAUUCCUUUUGUUUGUUUACCACCACACACACACACACACACACACACACACACACUCUGUAAACACACUGGCUUCCUGCCCUGCGCAGAGCAGUCAUUUACACGGACUGGAUUUAAGGCUGUUAAGGUUCAGAAUCCAGGGCUCUUGGAGCUCAGGCUGUGCUCACGCCGGGUCCCCACAGGACUUCCUCGGGGUGACAGGUCACAGGGGUCUCAGGCCUGGCCUGGGGUGCCCCACGAGACCGGGAAGGUGAGGCGGUGUCUGGCAAAGGCGGGGGACACCCUCCCGGGGGGCGGGCC